AAUAAGUCCAAAAGUGAUGCCACUGCUGUUUAUGGAAAGCAGAACAUUGCUGUCAGUUAAGGACAUCAAUUUUACAACUGUCAGAUUCCUCUCUCUGAAGGUUUUAAAUCUCGGGGGACGUCCCUG